UUGGUAGCUCAGCUGGUUAGAGCGCUAGCCUGUCACGCUAGAGGUCGUGGGUUCGAACCCCAUCCG
rnacentral:tRNA from 1 species